rnacentral:rRNA from 2 species
UACGAAGGGGGCUAGCGUUGUUCGGAAUUACUGGGCGUAAAGCGCACGUAGGCGGAUAUUUAAGUCAGGGGUGAAAUCCCGGGGCUCAACCCCGGAACUGCCUUUGAUACUGGGUAUCUAGAGUCCAGAAGAGGUGAGUGGAAUUCCGAGUGUAGAGGUGAAAUUCGUAGAUAUUCGGAGGAACACCAGUGGCGAAGGCGGCUCACUGGUCUGGUACUGACGCUGAGGUGCGAAAGCGUGGGGAGCAAACAGG